GUCCACGCCGUAAACGAUGAAUGUUAGCCGUCGGCAAGUUUACUUGUCGGUGGCGCAGCUAACGCAUUAAACAUUCCGCCUGGGGAGUACGGUCGCAAGAUUAAAACUCAAAGGAAUUGACGGGGCCCGCACAAGCGGUGGAGCAUGUGGUUUAAUUCGAAGCAACGCGCAGAACCUUACCAGCCCUUGACAUGUCCGGCUAACCAGAGAGAUCUGGGGUUCCCUUCGGGGACCGGAACACAGGUGCUGCAUGGCUGUCGU
rnacentral:rRNA from 1 species